UACGGAAGGGGCAAGCGUUGUUCGGAAUUACUGGGCGUAAAGGGCGCGUAGGCGGCCAUCUAAGUCAGACGUGAAAUCCCCCGGCUUAACCUGGGAACUGCGUCUGAUACUGGAAGGCUUGAGUAUGGGAGAGGGAUGUAGAAUUCCAGGUGUAGCGGUGAAAUGCGUAGAUAUCAGGAGGAACACCGGUGGCGAAGGCGGGACUCUGGGCCGAUACUGACGCUGAGGAGCGAAAGCGUGGGGAGCAAACAGG
rnacentral:rRNA from 1 species